rnacentral:rRNA from 1 species
UACGUAGGGUGCGAGCGUUGUCCGGAAUUAUUGGGCGUAAAGGGCUCGUAGGCGGUUUGUCGCGUCGGGAGUGAAAACCUCGGGCUUAACUCGGGGCUUGCUUUCGAUACGGGCGGGCUAGAGUUCGGUAGGGGAGACUGGAAUUCCUGGUGUAGCGGUGAAAUGCGCAGAUAUCAGGAGGAACACCGGUGGCGAAGGCGGGUCUCUGGGCCGAUACUGACGCUGAGGAGCGAAAGCGUGGGGAGCGAACAGG